CAGCAGGCGCGAAAACUUUGCAAUACACGAAAGUGUGACAGGGUCAUCCCGAGUGCCGACCGCUGAGGUUGGCUUUUACCCAGUCUAGAAAGCUGGGGGAAUAAGGAGAGGGCAAGUCUGGUGUCAGCCGCCGCGGUAAUACCAGCUCUCCGAGUGGUGUGGACGUUUAUUGGGCCUAAAGCAUCCGUAGCUGGCUGAACAAGUCCCCUGUUAAACCCACCGAUUUAAUCGUUGGUCUGCGGGGGAUACUGCUCGGCUAGGGGACGAGAGAGGCAGGCGGUAUUCUCGGGGUAGGGGUGAAAUCCUAUAAUCCCGGGAAGACCACCAGUGGCGAAGGCUGCCUGCUAGAGCGCGCCCGACGGUGAGGGAUGAAAGCUGGGGGAGCGAACCGGAUUAGAUACCCGGGUAGUCCCAGCUGUAAACGAUGCAGACUAGGUGUUUGGACGGCCACGUGCCGUUCUAGUGCCGCAGGGAAGCUGUUAAGUCUGCCGCCUGGGGAGUACGAUCGCAAGAUUGAAACUUAAAGGAAUUGGCGGGGGAGCAC
rnacentral:rRNA from 1 species